CCAGGUAAUUCCCCUGGGCUGCUUUUUCUAACUGAGCACACUCGGGGAAUACACACAAACUUGGGGAUGAACGUACACAGGCAGGAGUAGAAAGAUAAGAGGAAUGCUAAAAUCCUACCCUGCACAAAGCCUAGUAUCAAGGCCGCCUACACGGGCUAUUUUGUUGAGUCCCAGUGUGCCUGUCUCCUACUACUGAGGAUAACUGGGAAGAGUGAAGAUGUUACAAGAAAAAGCCAGAAGGUGGCCCUUGACAGACUGUAACAAAGAGCCAAAACCAGGAGGUACUAAACCCUGUUCUUACACUGGAGGAGGAGGAGAGACCAAUUGUCAGCAGCAUGCCUCACUCCGGAUAAGGGACGUUAGACACUAAAUCGUCACUAGGGAUCGAGAUUUCUAAGAAACAUUAUUUAAAACUUAUUAUCAGUCAGGACAGAAUAUCUAGCCACGAGUCUUUUCCUGUCUCCUGGUUCAGACACACGAGAAGCAGGAGGUGGCCUCCCAACCAAACUUAGCCUGUGAGAUUUCAGCAGGGCGCCUCACGCAGUGGGAUGGGGUAAAAUUUGAUGAGGAAAAGAAAAAAUUCCCAUUAGUACAUUGCAUUAAUGAGUCAUUUGUUCUCACUUCAACUGGGAUCAGAAUGGGCAGAAAAGGGAAAUCCCAUGAUGCAGUGGAGUAGCAUAAGGCAAAGCAGCAGCUCAAAUAGUGUCUGGGACCAAAAUGCAACUUGGGUGUCUCAUGCGAAAUGCACAAUGAAUGGAUGUCUUGUCUUUAAAUGAAACACAAUAGUGAACCGUAGGCAAGGAAGUCCAGCAACCUGCAGAGGCCAUAGGCACAGGCUCAGUUUCAUUGUCAUUUUCAACUCCUGAAUACUCUGUAGAAAAGCAAGACAGACAAUAGAAAAGGACCAAGAGAUUAGGCUCUUCAAACUGGACCUUGAAAAUUAGUUUUGAAAAGCUACCAAACACAAAGAGAAAAAUUGCCCUCCCAUCCCUCCUGGGGACACACUCCACACCUGAAUGAAAACUGUACUUGAUCACCUUUUCCCAAAGGGAUAUUUACCACUCCCGUGCUCCUUUCCAUUCUUUUUUUUUUUUUAAUAUAUUUUAUUUAAGUACAGUUGAUUUACAAUAUUGUGUUAAUUUUACAGCAAAGCGAUUCAAUUAUACAUAUAUAUAUUCUUUUUCAUAUUCUUUUCCAUUAUGGUUUAUCACAUGAUACUGAAUAUAUUGUAGUUCCCUGGACUACACAGUAGGACCUUAUUGUUUAUCGCUUUCCAUUCUCUUAUUCCACCUUCCGGCAGCCUCCUUGCCAAAACACAGGUCAGAUUCAAAAUGAGAUGAGUAACAGCUGUGCACUGAAUUCACUGAUCUCCUCAACCUGUCCAGGCAGGACACUGGGAGGUGGCAGCUGGCGCUGACGGCAGAGACAUACCUGGUGCAAAAGGCACCCACCCUGGACCACAGCGCCAGCCUUUUUAAUGGGGAAGACACAUGUCAGCGUCCAAAGCCUGGUAUGUAGUGAACAUUUAUGUCUUUUUUGAAAGCUCAAAAGGAGUUCAAAUCGGUUCACACUUGGAUGUCACUCACAUCCAAGUGACAGACGGAAGAAGGCAUUUUUAACCAGUUUUUCUGAACAGAAAGGGAGAGUCGGAGGUUAAGGAACUCACCCAGAGAAACAUAAUCGGUGAUGGGCCUGGGGACAGCGGCUGUGGUUCCCGCCCAGCGUUCUGGGUCGAGGCACCCGCCCAGCGACGGAGGACAGAAUUUCCACUCUCCAGACCACGCGACUAAUAAGAAAUUAUCCUGAGAAAGGUCCACAGGCUUCACAAACCACCAAAGGACUCCGUGGCACAGAAAAGUACACGCGCCUCUCACUGUUGUG